CUACUAUUAUUUCUAUUGCAACUAUUAUUGUUACUACUACUUCUAUUGUCAACUACUAUUACAAAAUUAUAGAGUGGGCAUUAAGGACAUAAAAAUCCUUCUACAUAAUUGAACUGAGUUUUGAAUAUUGUGUUCCAAUUGUUUAUUUUUGUUAGAUCAUAGAAGUUACUGUUGGUAAAAUGGUUCCACAUCUAGAAUUUUCAACCUUUGCUAUAUUAUGAGCUGCUAGAAACCAGGAACCAUCUUGUACUUGUCUGUAUUUUCCUUGGUUCCUAGCACUAUGCUCUAUUUGUCAGACCUAGAAAUGUUGAUUGAAUUUGUUGAACUUUAUCAACAAAGCUUCUUCAGAGACAAGUUAACAAUCAUGAUGUCACCCUAAAGAUGACAGGCCAUUUGGCUUUGUGUAUUUCCUUGGCGAACAAAGCAACACCAGAUACUAUGGUGUUGAUGUUAAAGAGCCUAAUCCCUUGAGGUUUUCUCCCCAUCAGGCAGCCUCUUGCUUUCUGAACCUCUUUGAUUAUUGGAUCCUCAAGUUCUAUGUCCCAUCAUUACUGACAGCUUGACAAACCCUCUUCAUUUGCAUUUGCUAUGCUGUAGCUCACCCAUGGGGAGACCUCUGAAAAUCCCCACCUUCCAUCCUGUCUGUGCAACUUGUUUCCUUCAUGGAUGUUUUUGCUCUCUUCAGAGAAAGCACACGUUCCCUUUCAGGGAAAGACUUUUUCAAGAGAUUUAACUGCUCUUGUUAAACUGAGACCCAUUCCCCUACUCAUGGAGUAAGGGUAUCCCUGUUUUACCCUUUGGCGCAUUUUCUCUUCUGAUUCUGAAGAAGGUCCAUGUUCCUUCACAGACCCAGGAGUUCUGAUGGCAGCAGCUUUGGCAUUGCCUUCUCUUCUGCCAAACAUCUAACCUUAUCCAGACUUGAGACUUCAGUUCCUUCCUGCUUCAUGUGAAAACACUACCAGCAAGGCCAAUAAUCUUUUCAGUAUGUCCUGUUUUGAAGACUGAAAAGGAAAACCUCAUUGAAUAUUACUCAUUGCUUAUUUUUGCAAUCCUCAUGCACCAUUCAGAAUUUUCUUAAACAGAUUAAAAUGUUUGUGGCAUACCAUGAAUACAGACUUUAGUCAUUAUUCUCUGUCUUCCUCUUUUGAACAUUAGGAAAAUACUUCAGUUUUCUAUAUCAACCAAUGCUUUUGUGAAUGAGAAAGAACAGGGAUAGUGAUUUUUCACUAACUUCUCACAUUUUGUUGUAUAAUCUUUAAUAAAUAAUUUUAGUGGUGGCUUGUGUUAAUAUUAGACAGUUUUUUUGUCUAAGAAGUAUAAUCACAGUACUACAUUUUAUAAUUUUGAUUUCUAUUGUAUAUUCUUAAAAUGAAAAGCCUUGUUUUAAAGAACACUUUGAGUCUGAAGCCUUUAUAUGGAUGUCUAAUGGAUUUUAAUGUGCUAAAAUGCAGUUCAUCUCUCAAUUGUAAAUAAUUCUUUUUAGGUUUUUCACAGACACUCUAUAAGAAAGUCUACAAGAAACAUGUGAUGUUUAAAUAAAUUUAUUGUAAUGGGAAGAUAUGAGCAUGAUUACGUUAUGUAUAUCAUUCUAACCAUUUUUUUUUGUAU